rnacentral:tmRNA from 1 species
GGGGGCGACACGGUUUCGACGGGGAUAAGGACAGGAUAUGACAGCAUGCCGGGGACCCAUGCCCCGUUACCAAAUGGGAACAACAAUAACUGCCAACAACGAAUUGGCUCUGGCUGCCUAAUUAAAGGCUGCCACGUCCGGCGCAUGGUCUCUGCCUGCGGGCUGGCGUCGGGCGACGACAAAGCAGGCUGGCUUGCAGGGACUGCCGGGACCUUGUGAGCGAAAGUUUUUCCGGCUCUACCGGACGGCAACUCUGUCGGUGUAGUAGCCGGCCGGUGAAAACCGAACACCGACUAAGCAUGUAGAAGUCAUAUCGGGUCUAUCUUCGGACGUGGGUUCGAUUCCCACCGCCUCCACCA